AUAUUGGACAAUGGGCGAAAGCCUGAUACAGCCAUGCCGAGUGUGUGCAGCAGGUCUUCGGAUUGUAAAGCACUUUAAGUCGUGAGGAUGGGGUUGAAGCUAAUAACUUCAAUCUUUGACGUUACCAACAGAAUAAGCACCGGCUAACUCUUUCCCAGCAGCCGCGGAAAUACAGAGGGUGAAAGCGUUAAUCGGAAUUACUGGGCGUAAAGCGCGCGUAGGUGGUUCGUUAAGUUGAAAGUGAAAGCCCCGGGCUUAACCUGGGAAUUGCUUUCAAAACUGACGAGCUAGAGUACGGUAGAGGGUAGUGGAAUUUCCUGUGUAGCGGUGAAAUGCGUAGAUAUAGGAAGGAACAUCAGUGGCGAAGGCGACUACCUGGACUGAUACUGACACUGAGGUGCGAAAGCGUGGGGAGCAAACAGG
rnacentral:rRNA from 1 species